UCUGUAUUCAGAAAGAGGAAAAAACAACGCAAACAGUUCAAAGAGAAUACUGACACCUCAAAAAAGUUGGGAAAGAGGAUUCAAACAAUAAAGUUGAAUAUGAAGCCAAAAAAAAUGUUGGAAGGAAUUCUUUUGGAUGAAAUUUUCUUUGAAAAAUACUAGUUUGAUAAACCUGAGACAGACAGUUUAACGUGCACCAUGCGGUUAUAGCUGAUUUGGUGACCUUUAUAUCAG
rnacentral:misc_RNA from 1 species